AAGUUCUUCUACCGCAGACGUUCUGUGGAAGGUAGUGGGAACUUCAUCAAUACAAGACAUGUGAUGAAAUUCUUCAAGCUUGAACCAGGAGAGUAUCUCAUUGUGCCCUCUACUUUCAAUCCUAAUGAGUGUGCAAAAUUCAUGCUGUCCAUCUUCACAAAGACUGAAUCGCAUACGAGAAAAAAGAAACCUGCAAGGACAUAUGUGUGAGGUUAUUAUAAAUACUGUUAAGUGUCUUGCUCAAAAUAGCAAUUUAACAGUUUAUGGUCUGGUCACCCUCCUACUACUUUCACCAGUGUACCAGUUUUUUUUUUUUUUUUUUUUUUUUAAUCUCUGUAACCACUCAAAUAGGAUUUGGAGUACUGGUUUUACUGUUUUUCUUUGUCUUCUACACCCCUUCUCUUCAAUAUUUUGUUAAUCUGUGAGCUGUGAAACGAAUGUUACCAUUGUUGUUUAUUUGUGAGGUUUUUGAUGUUCUAUCUCAAUGUAACUGUAUGGUUCAGGUCAGUCAGUCACCAAGAGUUUUAAAUGAAAUGUCAUUGCUUAGCCAUUCAGAAAGUCAUAAUGAAUGAAGCCUAAUACAUAUGCUACUCAGCAGUCAAAUUUAAGUAUGUCUUCAAGUGAUACAGCACAAUUCUGAAAUGUACACUACCAAACAAUAAUAAAGACACAUAUUAUUAAAAAACUUUAUGUAAUCGGUUAUUUUUUUUAAAAUUUUGUACAAACUAUAUGGUUCCAAAUCUAGUUCUUUAUUAAAUAUGAUCAGUGUUUUCACUCCAUUUAGCUUCCGGAGGGAUAUGUAGACUGUAACAUCGUAGGUUUUCUUACACUAGAGGGCAGUAGUUUACUAAAUAAAUAAUGGGGGUCGCCACACAGAAACGUGCGAGCACAGGAGUGUCAUUUACAGCUGAUACUGAGAUCCUUCUCUUGUGACACAAAAUACAAGUAGUCAGCAGAGAAGUAUCGCUGUGCAUGUACACCUGUAAUGUGAGUCUCAAAUGCAUCUCAUCGGUGGACCGAGAGCCCCUGUGGGUAUGCACAAACCUGUUCUUGGAGGGCCACUGUCCUGAAGAGUUAAGCUCUAACACUAAUUAAAUACACAUGGACCAAGCUCAAGGUCUUCAGACUCACAAGAAACAUCCAGGCAAGUGUGUUAUUGUUAAGUGUGUAAGGGAGUUAUUUGGAACUAAACUCUGCAGGAUAUUGGCCCUCCAGGAGCAGGAUUGGACACCCCUUAACUACAGUACUAUAAUGGCAAGAAAAAUAAAAAUCUUCCCAUUGUA